GUUGCUCAAAAACCAUAUAUGAUUCUUGAUGCUGCUGCAAUGGAGAAUCUUGAGAUCUUUGAGAAUAACAGAAAUGGAGGCUCUUCAGGGACACUUUAUGCACAAAUGAAUCAUUGUGUGACAGCAUUUGGGAAGAGGUUGCUGAAAACAUGGCUAGCAAGACCUCUAUAUCAUUUGAAAUCUAUUAAGGAUCGCCAGGAUGCUGUAGCAGGUCUACGGGGGGCAAAUCAACCUAUGGCACUGGAAUUUCGAAAAGCAUUGUCCAGGCUUCCUGACAUGGAGCGAUUACUUGC
rnacentral:misc_RNA from 1 species